UGUGUUGAGCUUAGGAGAAGCAGCCACCGGUUUGUUUCCUGGGAAGUCUUAGGGAGUGUUUCAGUACGGACUGUGUGCCCGGGUUUUAUUCCCCUGCUCCGGGCCCGUUUCGCUGUUGCAAGCCCAGCUGGAAAGCAAAACUUAUUCCUGGACCCUCACGUGCUCUGGAUGGCCUUUCUGUUGGUGGCCGGUCUGGGGUCCGGUCCUCAACCUGAUGACAGAAUUGGAGUUGACUUUGGCUUUUGCUUAGACACGUUAGCACCAUGUCACAUGAGAAGGAGUGUGGGCUCAGCCUAAAGUGAGGGGGAACUCUGCUGUGAAUUCCUUUGCAGGUCCUCCAGCAGGCAGGCUGUACAGUGUACUGCCCCUUGGUUCUCAAUCUGUCAAAUUAGAAAGGGCAAAACCCAUAAUGAAAUGAAGGUCUUUCCGAAGCCACUCAUUUGCGUAACACCCGGAGCAGUUGGUGAGGACAUUCAUGUCGGGCUUCUCAAUGGAGUGUUGAGCUACAGAUUUAAACAGAGGGAAAAUGAACACUGAAUAUUCACUGAACCGUGUUAAGGAGAAAGAGGGUAUGCAUAUGUAUUUAAUGUAUAGCAAGACACUUUGAUGUUUGAAGGGGAAAAAAGAAAAGAGAACAAACAUCAGCCGGAGCGCAGCGUGCUGCCGGUAGAGCCCCGCGGAGAGCUGCGCGCUCGCAGGCGGCCGCCACCAGGGGGAGCUACAGCUGUGCUCCGCCCGGCUCCGCGCCGUGCGGCCGCGCUCCCACCGCCUGCCCGCCUGUCUCCUGCAGUCCGUGCUGCUCCUUCCCGGCCUCCGGCUGUCCUCGUGUACCAGCUGCUGAUUGGAAACCGGUAUCGCGAGACUACGUUAUGUGUGAGUUUGAUAGGAGUCACCAUGGUGAGGAAAGGAAUAAUGGAUUUUCAGUCAUGGCUUCCUUCUUCCCCCGGAGAGCAAUGAGUCUGUUUCCCUUUUUCAAUAACAGCUUUAUUACAGCAUGUUAAAGGGAAACAAGAAGAUGAACAGACCGGGCCUGGCUGUGCAGCGAUCACUCUUCUGAGGAGCCUGUGUGAAGAGAUGCUGGUCUGGGAGUCAAUCUGAGGAAAAGCAGAAGAUAUUUGCUUUAUAUCUGAAGUAUUAUUCAAGUUCACUCCAGUGACAAGGGAACUGUUGGUACAUGAUUUAUAUAAAGCUCUAAGACCUGGUGCUGAAGGAAACUUCUCUCAGAAGUGUACGUUUAUUGUUUGAUACCUUUGGUGAUACGUGCUGCUUCAUCUACCAUCUCUGUAAGUGUGGUCUCACUUUCACUGUUAUUGAAACUUGUAUCAAGUGAAAUGAAAACAGAAAUUUGGGAAAGGAUAUAAUUAACCUACCUGUGAACAUUAACCUUAAAUAUUGUGCUAAUUACCUCAAUAAUUUAAUCACUGCAGAUCUCAAACUCGUUUGUUAAAUAUUUAAUUCUGCAAAUUGUUUCUGAUACAGAGGUGUGGGUAGCUUUCUGUGAAUGUAACCUUCUAUAUAAAACUCCUUACAAAACCAUUGUAUAUUUGCACUUCAGCAAAAAAAUCCACCGUCAACAAGACUUUUAAUGGCAAUCACAGAAAACAUUCCCUGGGGCAAAGAGAUACAGUGCCCUACUACUCGUAAAUCUAAUGAGCGUGUUGUGUGCUGAGUAGGCCACAGCAAAUUUCUGUCUGCACAUCUUCAGGUUUGAUUCCAUGGUAGUCUAGACUGGAAAGUUUCUUUUGCCUUGUUUCUUUGGCUGUGGUGCAGUUGUGUGGUUGUUUCUUACCUGUACACCUGAUUACUUGAGCAACUGACCACAUUAUGUCCUUGAUCUUCAUCCCUUCUCAUCAAGUGAAUAUUUUGUGCUGCUUCUAGGCCAUGGGGUCACCCCCAGCCACUGCCGCUGGGCAGCAAAAGCCAGGCCAUGGGAGCUGGGCAAACUGCCAGAUGGGAGGAUGGCUGGCAGAGAGGGGGCAAGAGGUAGGGGGCAGGCCGUUACACCCCUGGCACCUCAAUCUUCCAUCCCAUUGUGAAAAACAAGUCACCCUUCCUUCAUCUUUUCCCAGGGGCAUCAACCAGCCCUGUGUUUCAGGCUGUACCGGAUGGCAGUACUUCUUUGUUUUUGUAAUGUAUGUCUCACUUACUGAGAAAGAAGAUGAAGAUUGGCUUUGACAUCGUGCUGCUGCACUGUAAAUUUUACUAUUAGAGUAAGGUGCAAAGGUAUCCUAAAUCCAUCUGAUGGCUCACACCAGACCUCUGUCAGGAGCUCUUUGAUUAGUUAUAUCUUUCAUGGAAAGGCUCCUGUACAUCACUGAAUCCAAGUGUGGGCACAAUUGCAGAUGGCUGUAAAGACAUGCAGUUUGAAGGAUAUUUAUAUUAUCAGUGUGGUGUAUAGAAACCCAGAUCUACAUGGUGUUCUGAUUUCUUUGGUGAUGAUACAUUACCGUGCUUCACACUGGUAUUUUCUAUGAAAUUAUUGAGUGAAGUCACUGCCUGGCAGAUCUCUCAGUGAUGUCUCAGAAGGAAAGGAAAGCGCUGCUGGGGCUGUGCAGUGGCAGCACAGGGAGAAGUGCUGGGGCUGUGUGAUGGCACGAAGACGGCACUGCAAGGAGGGAGGAAGAGUGAGUGAACCUGCGAGCAGCACGAGCCCAGGGCAGAAACAGACAUCAUCUGGAACUGUCUGCCCACCAAUGCUUUAGAAACAACACUGAUGAUAACAAAGUGGGUAUUGGUGUUUUUUCAGAUUGAUACCCCUAACAUUUUGACUGGAGUAUGGAAGCGAGGAGUAGCUGAUCCUAACAUGCUGGACAAGAUUGCAUGAGACUGGAAACUCACUCCCACUAAGAAAAAAAUGGAAAACUCCAAGUCUUCAGAACAAAUCUGAUUUUUGUUUUUAUGUCUGCCUGUGUUUGAUGCGGGAGUUGAAAUCAAAAUCCAAAUUAUAUUUCCAGAUCUAGGGGUCAUUUUAAGUACCUUUCCAUCUCCCUAGCACAGGGUUUUUCUAAGACUCGUUGACAUCUAAUGAUAAUAAAGUCUUUCAUUACAGAAUCACAAAAUACUCGGCCUGUGGCCUUAUGUUCAAUUAAUAUUUAUUUAAUAAUCAUAGGUAAAUUAAUUUCCAUUGUUUCUGUUCUAAUUCUAUACGAGAUUGUGAGAUACAACUAGAGAAAAGCGCAGAGAGCCUGAGUAAAUGUUGCUCAUAGAAAAUGUUUCUAUUACCCUUUACUUUUAAAACCAUUAAUAGAUUAUUAGGAGAUAUAAACAUAGGAGACCAUGGAUCAUAUUUGCAUAUUAAUGAAAUCCAUGAAUUAUACAUUAUUUGCUAUAGAGAGUACUAGGAACAGUACUCCUUCUUUUUUAAUGGCUAUAAAAGCUGGCGUUUUCCUGGAGCACACAUCACAUCCCCUCUGCAAUACCUUCUAAUAGAAAGCAAGCAAGCCAGCUCUUCAAAGCAAUCUCUCACUAAAUUUAAUAGAUUUGUUUGUGUUGCUUUGCAACACACAAGUGUGACAGUUCAUUUUAAACAAAAUAGUUUUAAUAAUGUCAUUACUAAUAUCUGUUUGGUCAUCUCUCUGAAAAAUGGUGUUUUAAUGGGAAUGUUUCAUUUUAAUAAAUGGCAGAAGAGGCAAGCUGCCCUGAGUCAGCAGGAAGUGGAUAUACACCAGAGAACAGGCUGAUUGUGUUAGAUUCAUCCAGAACAUUGAACAGCACACAGACAGUCCAAGAAAAAGCAACUGGCUUUAUUCAAAUGAUUAGUCUUGCUGCUACGCUGUAGCGCAGAUUCACACAUUCUUCUAUUAUUCCUUGACCUUGUGCCAAAAACUCCCACUUGAAGUAAUAAUUAGAAUUAGUGUUUCCAGUGCAUGCUUCCAUCUUCCUAACAAACAGUAAUGAAAUGUGGCUUUUACAAAAUAUGCAGUUAAUUAAACUUUUUAAAAACAUUGGUUGAUUAAUACAGUUCCUCUGUGCUAUCCCCUUGCUGUGCCCAGCUCUUUCUACCUGAUAUUGGUGAACCAGAAGAAACAUAGUGAGAUGAGGGACAGUUUGGAAAUUUGCACUUCAAUAUUGGUUAUAUAUAUUUUCUUUUCUUUCUCAUUUUGACUCUGUCUAGGCAUAAACUGGAAAGAUGGCCAUUAUUUGUAAUCACAGGUUUUUAAGCCCAGGACAGUGUGCGCAUUAUAUAACUGCUCUAUGCAUACCUUCAGCAUGAAUAUGAAGAAUACAUAUAUCAAGAGCUACAAGAUGAUGAGGCAGGAAGCAAGUUACAUCUUGGAGAAAUUGCCCUCAGGAGAGAGGAAAAACUAUUGCGAGGUUGACAGCACAACCUUGUAGCAGCGCAGUUUGCCUUUCCCAGUGGUUCAAGGAGUUCCAAGCACCCUCUUGUAAAUCAUCGGCUCACAUCUAUUUAUUAUCUUCCAGCCCAGUGCACAACACUAUCUGUUACACACGGAUACCGGCAAUAUUACAAGGUGGACUCCAGGGAUAAGAGACAGCCAACCCCGCACACCUCCCACGCCUGAGUCAUACCCGGGGUAACGCCAGGUCCUGCUCGUACCUGCUGUCGGCAGAAAUGAAACAGUACGAGCUGUUGUGUUUCAGAGCCUUUUUUAAUUGAUUCUCCAGAAUGCUUGAUCUUACCUGCUGAUAUCCCUGUGUUAUUAUUCAGAGGCACAGUCUAUCUGCAUAGCAAUGGACAAAAUGCCUGUGAAAAUAUUGCUAUUCAUUCAGUCGAUGUCGGAACUGGAGUAGGCACCAGCUACACUCUGCAAUGCUUGUCCUGGAAUAUUAAUAAAUAAAUCAUAAAAGCCAAUGCUUCAAAUAUUGAAAAAUUCACACUUCAAACUGUGUUUUGAACUAUACUGAGAGCAAUGUCUCAGAUUGUCCUUUUGCUUUAUAUGAACAGAGGAAAUUCAAAGUAGGAGGAACUCUCUCUGGGGAUUUGGUGUAGGGGAGUGCCACAAACCAUCAUCCUUCCUGUCUCUGCCAUGCCAGAGUGGCCUCUCCUGGGAUGUGCCAUGAGGAGCAGACAGCACAUCUGGGGAGCUAAUGUGGCUUCAGAUGAAAUUAUCUCCUGCAGAAUCCAUCUUGGCUGACAGCAAUGUGCACGCAAAGCAGCCAGGCAGUGGCGGGGAGCCAGGUCACAGCAGGGCAGGUGAAGGCUCGGUGGAAGGCAGCACCUCCCUGUGACUGUCUGGGUUAAACAAAGUUCCUUGCCACACUGGUUAUCCUUCUAUUCAGGGCUCAUAUUGGUAAGCUCAGUGUCAUUGAAGCCCCCAGCCCUGCUACCCACUUGCAGUGCUCUCUCGCUGCAGGUCCUGACUCACAGAGUGCUGCACGGUGUGCUGUGCAUGUCCGCUGUGCAAGGAAGGGUGCGGAAAGAUGCGCUCUGAAAGGUAUGCUCUAGUUCAAGAAUUGCUAGCUGGGCUGGUGCCUGAACUGCAGAAUGGGUUUCCGUGGUGUGUGUCAUGCAGGGGGCUGCUGGUAGGCACUUCUGAUGGUUCCUUUUUUUUUCUUUUGCUUUAAAAGCACUGAAAUUAGCCAAAAACUAAAGCAUAUAAUGGUAUUUUGUAGUUUAAUUGUGAAUACAAGACUAGACUGGCACUGGAAGUCACUCAGGUACAUCUAGUCAAAGGCCAGAAGAAUAAGCACUGCGGGUAUUCAGUGCUUUAUCUGAUUAGAAAAGCCUGGCACAGAUGUGAUUUCUGCUCCAUAUAUCAAGUUAUGGCAGGCUUUUGCUGCUUCAUUAUGAAAGCAUGUGAAGUAAAAUAGGUUUUGGAACAUAAAAAAUGACAAAUCUGGGAAAAUAUCUAUAUACCAGAUGGGUGUAGGAAGAAUCUUUGUGACAAAUAUAUUAUUAAGGGAAUAUGCAUAAGGAAAGAAACAGUGCCCCUCUCCUCCAAGGAUGGACAGGCAGGAAGGUGGCGUCUCACUGCGUCUAAUGUAUUCUCAUCUAGCCUAAAUCUAAUUAAUUGUAUGGCAUCGCUGACAUAAAAUCUAGGCACCACAUGCAAUAAUCAUAAGCUUCAUCGGGGUGCUGGUAGGACUUGGCGAGUACUCUGCCCUCCCCACUUUGUUCUCCUGGACGUCUCACAGAGGAAAGCUGCUGAUGCAGGGCCCUGGCUGCGCACCAUAGGCAGAUAGUGGCCGCUCACCUCCUCCCCUCACUGCCACACUCCAUCAUCCUCCUCUGAGGCACUGCUUGGAGGGGCCAUGUAGGAAUGGACAUUAUCUGUAGGUUCCAGCUUGAGGCACCUGCAACCUGGGGGACUCUGCAAACUGCUGCCCUGCUGCAUGGUGCAGAGGUCUCAGCUUUCCCUUGAUGCACACCUUGUUGGGGUUUUGCUACAUAACUGGUUUAGAUUGAGGGUGCAAAUGACCUAACCACGAUUAGUGUGUUCAGAAUUGAAAUAGAAAUGAAAAAGGGAGGAAGGUGGGGCAGUCCUGUCGCUUGGCUUCCCAUAAUGCGAUUUCAGUGAUGCCCUAUCAGCUAUCUGAUUGCUCUUUUCCUACUUACACCAAACAAACCAGAAGGCUUUUGCUCACAGGCUUCUAGUACUAUUUUAUUUGGCAGUUAUGGAAUAAAAGAAUUUUAGUGUUGCCUUAGAGUUUCUCCUGACAUCUAUCACAACCAAUCCAGCUCAUAUGUGGGUGAAGUGUGUUUUGAUCCAAUUAUACAAUUCUAUUGGAGCCUUGUUACAUUCUCAUCCCAUGUGCAUGUUGAAAAAUUCAAAAGCAAAAGAAAAUUCUACAAAAUGUUUCUCACUUACUAUAGGCUUGGAGACACAAAGCUAGACCACAGUGUUACUUGUGGAGACUAGUAGCAAACUAGAAAACAACAUAUUCUUCAGGAAAAAUAACAAAAAACGACAGAACGCACCAACAAACCUGUUAAUCAGCAGCAAGAUUUAGAGGGGGAAUAGUACAAUCUGUGUUAUAAAGAAUAUUGCAGACAGACUUUGGGGACACAGCCUUACUUCUGUUAAUUGCAGCAACAAGAACUUUUUUGGUGUUCAUCACAAUAGUUAUAAUGACAAAGCAUCUGCCAGUUUGAAGACAUUUCUGAGGUGCAUAAAAAUGACAAAUUUCAAGAGAACCCAGACACAAAAUGGCCAAGACAAUGCAGCUAACAUCCCAAUGGAUCAUAAUGACUAUAAUACUUAAAAAACUGAUAUAUUUCCCACACUUGCAAUACCUUUAUAGCAAAGAUGUAUUAUUAAAUCAACAACCCAUGUGCUAUUUGAUUACCAUGAUGCAUAAAUUGAUCGAGGAUAUUUCUGGCUCAUCAUUUCCACUGUUUUCAGGCUGAGAAACAUAAUGUAGGGAAUUAAGUGUUUCCUUUGCUCAUCUGCUGUAGAAAGUCGUGCAGCUUCAUGAAGCACUGCUCCUGGGAGAAGAGGCGCACUUGCUCCAAAGAUUUGUGGCUCCAUCAUGGUAGGCUCCGACAUGCCCACACGCAGAAUGCAGGCCCUAACACUCUGGUGGGAAGAUGCCAAGACCAAAUCAGCAUCUGAGGGCCACCCAAGCUGUUGGACAAGCACAGGUGGCUCUGUGGACAAACCCUGAUGACAGUACAAGGAGCAUGUCUUGGAGCUCAACUGCAGCUGGGAGAAGAUUCCUGAGCCACUACUCCUCCUUGGUUAAUUAAGUUCUGCCUGCCUUUAAUUCCAGUAGAUUAAUAAUCAGUCCAGCUUUCCUUAUAUUGGAGGCUGCAGAAAGGUUCUUGGCCUCCAGUUCUGAACCCUGCCUGUGUCUCUGCACCUCACGGGAGGGUGGAACACUCAACACAUCUCCCCACAGUUCCUCUCGGUCAUCCUGAGCCCUGUCAUUAAGCUCCACCACAGAAAUCUGUUUAGUCACAGAAGCAGAUUGCUUCCAUGAAGCGCAGAAAUGUAAUUUGCCAGUACUUACACUUACAAUAUUAAAUAGUAGCAAGUAGAUCUUUCACCUUUUCAAUUCUUUAUAGCAAAAAAUACUUGGUGUGAAAAUCUCGACUCUACAAGAGUCGAUGAUAAAAUCUGCAUCAACGGCAGAGCUGCUUUUACCCUCAGCACGGUGAGUGGUUUUAUUGGUUUUGCAUUUAAAGCUGUCCUAAUACAUCCGUGCUUUCAGCAUAAGCCCAGCAUCCUCACACACUUGCAAAGCCAAGAGCUCACCUCCCUGCU